AAGGUGAGGGUGAGGGUGGCCCGGGAGACACUGAAGGGUGAGGGGUCAAGGUGUGGAUGGAAAACUUCUUCAGCCAUAUUUAAGGAGCAGAGAGGUCAGUGUGGCAGAUCUCCUGAAUUUUUCACACACAAAAAAGCACCAGGAGGAUGCAACCAAGUUACCUCGACACUUGCUGGUGCUGGGGCGUCCUGAGAGUGGGAAGACGGCCCUCUUUGCCCUCAUCCUGCACUACUGGCUUCAUGGCAAGCACAGGAUACACAAUCUUGUUAAAUUUGACUUCUUGCUGGCUGUCCAAUGUCUAGGAUUAGAGUCUCUCUCCUCUGAUUGUGAGACAACUACUGUGGAUCUAGAGAAGCACAUGCUGGAUCACCUUCCUAAAUCAGUUGAGAAGCAUGGUGAGGAGGUAGUGCGGCAGGCUAUGAGGAAGGCUAAGGUCCUCCUCAUGAUUGACUCACUGGACUUCCUGGAUAAAACCACUAUAGACAAGGAGACUUCCCUGUCUCCUUGGUCAGACAGUCGUGUGCUUCUGCUCUGUCGAUACAAAUUCAUGAAGGAUAAUAAUGAUCAUGCAUUUUUCUGUGAGCAAAGCGAAGACAACCUGGUGUUGAAACUCUGGGGUGGAUUGGCUCCUAAUCUUUUUCAACUUCCUGAAAACUCUCAUGAAGACAUUUCUGAGCUGGGUGGUGUAUUUUCAGAAAAUUUGUUAACAGAUUACUGCGAGAGAUUAUGCAAAUGUGAAAGACAG